rnacentral:rRNA from 1 species
GACGAACGCUGGCGGCGUGCUUAACACAUGCAAGUCGAGCGGAAAGGCCUACUUCGGUGGUACUCGAGCGGCGAACGGGUGAGUAACACGUGAGUAAUCUGCCCCUGGCUUCGGGAUAGCCACCGGAAACGGUGAUUAAUACCGGAUAUGACACUGGACUGCAUGGUUUGGUGUGGAAAGUUUUUCGGCCAGGGAUGUGCUCGCGGCCUAUCAGCUUGAUGGUGAGGUAAUGGCUCACCAUGGCUUCGACGGGUAGCCGGCCUGAGAGGGUGACCGGUCACACUGGGACUGAGACACGGCCCAGACUCCUACGGGAGGCAGCAGUGGGGAAUAUUGGACAAUGGGCGGAAGCCUGAUCCAGCAACGCCGCGUGAGGGAUGACGGCCUUCGGGUUGUAAACCUCUUUCAGUACCGACGAAGCGCAAGUGACGGUAGGUACAGAAGAAG